rnacentral:rRNA from 1 species
GACGAACGCUGGCGGCGUGCUUAACACAUGCCAGUCGAACGGAAAGGCCUCUUUCGGGGGGUACUCGAGUGGCGAACGGGUGAGUAACACGUGAGUAACCUGCCCUUGACUUUGGGAUAACUUCAGGAAACUGGGGCUAAUACCGGAUAGGAGCUCCUGCUGCAUGGUGGGGGUUGGAAAGUUUCGGCGGUUGGGGAUGGACUCGCGGCUUAUCAGCUUGUUGGUGGGGUAGUGGCUUACCAAGGCUUUGACGGGUAGCCGGCCUGAGAGGGUGACCGGCCACAUUGGGACUGAGAUACGGCCCAGACUCCUACGGGAGGCAGCAGUGGGGAAUAUUGCACAAUGGGUGGAAGCCUGAUGCAGCAACGCCGUGUGCGGGAUGACGGCCUUCGGGUUGUAACCGCUUUCGCUCAUGACGAAGCUUUGUGUGACGGUAGUGGGUAAAGAAGCACCGGCUAACUACGUG